rnacentral:rRNA from 1 species
UACAGAGGUGGCAAGCGUUGUUCGGAAUUACUGGGCGUAAAGGGCUCGUAGGUGGCCAACUAAGUCGGACGUGAAAUCCCUCGGCUUAACCGGGGAACUGCGUCCGAUACUGGAUGGCUUGAGUUUGGGAGAGGGACGCGGAAUUCCAGGUGUAGCGGUGAAAUGCGUAGAUAUCUGGAGGAACACCAGCGGUGUAGACGGCUUUCUGGACCAUUGCUGACGCUGAGACACGAAAGCGUGGGUAGCAAACAGG